rnacentral:piRNA from 1 species
ACUACCUGGGUUACUAAGCAUGC